rnacentral:rRNA from 1 species
GUGGGGAAUAUUGCACAAUGGGCGAAAGCCUGAUGCAGCGACGCCGCGUGGGGGAUGACGGUCUUCGGAUUGUAAACUCCUUUCAGUAGGGACGAAGCGAAAGUGACGGUACCUGCAGAAGAAGCACCGGCCAACUACGUGCCAGCAGCCGCGGUAAUACGUAGGGUGCAAGCGUUGUCCGGAAUUACUGGGCGUAAAGAGCUCGUAGGCGGUUUGUCACGUCGUCUGUGAAAUCCUCCAGCUCAACUGGGGGAGUGCAGGCGAUACGGGCAGACUUGAGUACUACAGGGGAGACUGGAAUUCCUGGUGUAGCGGUGAAAUGCGCAGAUAUCAGGAGGAACACCGGUGGCGAAGGCGGGUCUCUGGGUAGUAACUGACGCUGAGGAGCGAAAGCAUGGGGAGCAAACAGGAUUAGAUACCCUAGUAGUCC